rnacentral:tRNA from 1 species
GUAGACAUGUUGGACUCGAAACAGCUCGAGCUCUCCUAAAGCGGGUGCCGCAGGUUCGAAUCCUGCCGGGG